rnacentral:rRNA from 1 species
CACGUAGGGUGCGAGCGUUGUCCGGAAUUAUUGGGCGUAAAGAGCUCGUAGGCGGUGUGUCGCGUCGGCCGUGAAAACCUGCAGCUUAACUGUGGGCUUGCGGUCGAUACGGGCAUCACUGGAGUUCGGCAGGGGAGACUGGAAUUCCUGGUGUAGCGGUGAAAUGCGCAGAUAUCGGGAGGAACACCAGUGGCGAAGGCG